GAUGAACGCUGGCGGCGUGCCUAAUACAUGCAAGUCGAGCGAAUGGAUUAAGAGCUUGCUCUUAUGAAGUUAGCGGCGGACGGGUGAGUAACACGUGGGUAACCUGCCCAUAAGACUGGGAUAACUCCGGGAAACCGGGGCUAAUACCGGAUAACAUUUUGAACCGCAUGGUUCGAAAUUGAAAGGCGGCCUCUGCUGUCACUUAUGGAUGGACCCGCGUCGCAUUAGCUAGUUGGGGAGGUAACGGCUCACCAAGGCAACGAUGCGUAGCCGACCUGAGAGGGUGAUCGGCCACACUGGGACUGAGACACGGCCCAGACUCCUACGGGAGGCAGCAGUAGGGAAUCUUCCGCAAUGGACGCAAGUCUGACGGAGCAACGCCGCGUGAGUGAUGAAGGCUUUCGGGUCGUAAAACUCUGUUGUUAGGGAAGAACAAGUGCUAGUUGAAUAAGCUGGCACCUUGACGGUACCUAACCAGAAAGCCACGGCUAACUACGUGCCAGCCGCCGCCGUAA
rnacentral:rRNA from 1 species